AUUGAACGCUGUCGGCAGGCUUAACACAUGCAAGUCGAGCGAGCGGCGGACGGGUGAGUAAUGUCAGGGAAACUGCCUGAUGGAGGGGGAUAACUACUGGAAACGGUAGAUAAUACCGCAUACCAUCAGAUGUGCUCAGAUGGGAUUAGCGAGUAGGUGGGGUAAUGGCUCAGCUAGGCGACGAUCCCUAGCUGGUCUGAGAGGAUGACCAGCCACACUGGAACUGGGACACGGUCCAUACUCCUACGUGAGUCCGCAGUGGGGAAUAUUGCACGGUGGGCGCAAGCCUGAUGCAGCCAUGCCGCGAGAGUGAAGAAGGCCUUCGGGUUGUAAAGCACUUUCAGCGAGGAGGCGUUACUCGCAGAAGAAGCACCGGCUAACUCCGUGCCAGCAGCCGCGGUAAUUC
rnacentral:rRNA from 1 species